UACGUAGGGACCAAGCGUUGUUCGGAUUUACUGGGCGUAAAGGGCGCGUAGGCGGCAAUUCAAGUCAUCUGUGAAAUCUCCGGCUUAACUCGGAACGGUCAGAUGAUACUGCUUUGCUAGAGUGCGGGAAGGGGCAAUCGGAAUUCUUGGUGUAGCGGUGAAAUGCGUAGAUAUCAAGAGGAACACCUGAGGUGAAGACGGGUUGCUGGGCCGACACUGACGCUGAUAGCGCGAAAGCCAGGGGAGCAAACGGG
rnacentral:rRNA from 1 species